CAAUAGCGUAUAUUAAAGUUGUUGCGGUUAAAAAGCUCGUAGUUGGAGUUCUGCCAGGUGACGCUCGUCCGCCCAAGUGGUGUGUACAGGGCGUGCAUCUGGCCCUUUCAAGGGGAACGUGUCUGCACUUUACUGUGUGGUGCGAGAUCCUUGACUUUUACUUUGAGGAAAUCAGAGUGUUCCAAGCAGGCUCUCGUCGUGUAUAGCUCAGCAUGGAAUAAUAGCAUUGGACUUCGUUUCUAAGCUGUUGGUUGCAAGAAGCGAGGUAAUGAUGAAGAGGGAUAGUUGGGGGCAUUCGUAUUUAACUGUCAGAGGUGAAAUUCUUGGAUUUGUUGAAGACGGACUACUGCGAAAGCAUCUGCCAUGGAUGUUUUCAUUGA
rnacentral:rRNA from 1 species